CUCAGUUCGGAUUGUAGGCUGAAACUCGCCUACAUGAAGCUGGAGUUACUAGUAAUCGCAGAUCAGAAUGCUGCGGUGAAUGCGUUCCCGGGUCUUGUACACACCGCCCGUCACACCACGGAAGUUGGGGGCGCCCGAAGCCACUUAGCUAACCCUUUUGGGAAGCGAGUGUCGAAGGUGAAAUCAAUAACUGGGGUGAAGUCGUAACAAGGUAAC
rnacentral:rRNA from 1 species